rnacentral:rRNA from 1 species
UGGUGCCAGCAGCCGCGGUAAUUCCAGCUCCAAUAGCGUAUAUUAACGUUGUUGCAGUUAAAAAGCUCGUAGUUGAAGUGUGGGUGAUCGCUGUUGAGAGACUUCGGUCUCUCGAAAGAAAGUCACCCCCUUCCAGUAUCCAGUAGUGGGUAUUCAGUUACUUACUAUUGUGUGUUGGUCGUUUACUGUGAGAAAAUUAGAGUGUUCAAAGCAGGCGUUUGCUUGAAUAGAUUAGCAUGGAAUAAUAAUUGAAGGCUUUCGUGUUCGAUUUGAUUGGUUUGUUCAUGGAAGCAAGGUUAAAAGGAACAGUUGGGGGUAUUCAUAUUCACUAGUUAGAGGUGAAAUUCUCGGAUUUAUGGAAGAUGAACAAGUGCGAAAGCAUUUACCAAGGAUGUUUUCAUUAAUCAAGAACGAAAGCUAGGGGAUCGAAGAGGAUUAGAUACCCUCGUAGUCUUAAA